CAGGACGAACGCUGGCGGCGUGCUUAACACAUGCAAGUCGAACGAGAAUCUGUGGAAAGAGGAUUCGUCCAAUUGAAGCAGAGGACAGUGGCGGACGGGUGAGUAACGCGUGAGGAACCUGCCUUUCAGAGGGGACAACAGUUGGAAACGACUGCUAAUACCGCAUAACAUAUAGAUGUCGCAUGGCAUUUAUAUCAAAGAUUUAUCGCUGAAAGAUGGCCUCGCGUCUGAUUAGCUAGUUGGUGAGGUAACGGCCCACCAAGGCGACGAUCAGUAGCCGGACUGAGAGGUUGAACGGCCACAUUGGGACUGAGAUACGGCCCAGACUCCUACGGGAGGCAGCAGUGGGGAAUAUUGGGCAAUGGGCGCAAGCCUGACCCAGCAACGCCGCGUGAAGGAAGAAGGCUUUCGGGUUGUAAACUUCUUUUGUCAGGGACGAGUAGAAGACGGUACCUGACGAAUAAGCCACGGCUAACUACGUG
rnacentral:rRNA from 1 species